rnacentral:lncRNA from 1 species
AGUCAAACAGGUGACAACCACACUUGGCGUUAACUGGAAGCUACACACUCCAUACCAUCCGCAGUCUUCUGGAAAAGUGGAAUGCGCCAACGGCCUUGUCAAACAACACCUAAUCAAAUUGGCUCUCGAGAAGCGCCAAUCGUGGAUCAACUGAGAUGCAAAACCCAUGUUCACAUCAUGAGUGAGUCUUCUAACUCGGACAAUGCAAUCAACAAAUUCUAAGACCAAAUUCCGGUGGCACUGGCUCCAAAGGCCCCAGGGAAAAUAAACUAAUCAAGACUACUUUAAUUUUUUAAAUAUGAAACCUGCGGAAAAUCAUGAAAAAUAGUAACACAAUUCCACCAUUUUCUACGAAAAAAUACUGAAAGGGUUAUUAACUUGAAUGUCCAAUAGACAGCUGAAUUAGAUAUGAAGUUGCAUAAAGAGAGUAGCCAAAUCAAAAUAUAUAAGUUUUAAAAGGCAAUAUCCAGGACUUCAAACAUGGAAAGAGUUACACGAGAGAAAAGAGGAUUUUGAGAGAUUGCUGCUUCAUUUGCAUGCUCAGCAAAACCUCACGGAGCACUGACGUUUUGAGUCAUCCCUCUAAUCAUCUAGCAUCCAACGCUCCUGAGUGUGGAAGGAGGUGAACAGGGAAAAGCAGAGAGGACAAAAGUCACAUCCCCUCCCCACAGACCCAUACUGGGGAAGGGUGGAAGAUUUAGCUGCGAGUCAAGUUCAGAAUUUUGAUUAACAUCUUGGCAUGCACAUUCGAAUUUCAGAAUCAAGACUGUUGGCCAUAAAAAAUGACUAUAGCCUUGUGUAUUACCUGAACUGAGCAGUAAAAAAAAAGUCAUGGUCCUUCUGGGGCUUUUAUUCUGAGACAGGAACCCUGAACAGGCAGGAGAAAGGGAAUGUUGACAGAGAAACAAAGACAGUUGGCGACACACGCUGACCGCCAUGCGGACGUCCAUCAAACCCAGCACUGGCCCUGGGUACGUGCGCCUUUGCUAUUACCCCAAUACAUUUUCUUCUGCAGAGCAAGCAACAGAACACAUGCAGACCUUAAUAAAUACCACUGGGUAAUGUGACAAUGGCCAAACUCUCCUCACGGGGGAGAGAGUGUCCCCCAGUUUUGCUCCCUUUUAAUUUCCAGGGUUCAUAAGUAGCUCUAAAGCUUUGCUCUACAAGGUUGAUACAUACGAUAUUAAUGUUUCCCCUAAGCAGUAUAACAUAAAUAUAUUUGCUAUCU